rnacentral:rRNA from 1 species
AUGGUUUCUGUGCUAACAUGCUUAUUGACAGUACCUUUUCUAGAGAAUGUCAAUAAAUUCCAAAAUCCAUUUCGCCGCCCAGUAGCUAUGACCUUUUUAAUCGGUACUGUAGUAGGUCUUUGGUUAGGUAUUGGAGCAACAUUACCCAUUGAUAAAUCAUUAACUUUAGGUCUUUUUUAG